GAUGAACGCUAGCGGCAGCCUUCAUACAUGCAAGUCGAGGGGCAGCAUAAAUUACUUGUAAUUUGAUGGCGACCGGCGAACGGGUGCGUAACGCGUAUGCAACUUACCUUUUACUAGAGAAUAGCCAAGAGAAAUUUUGAUUAAUGCUCUAUAUUCUUAUUUACUCGCAUGAGUAAAUAAGCAAAGCUCCGGCGGUAAAAGAUGGGCAUGCGUCCUAUUAGCUUGUAGGUGAGGUAAUGGCUCACCUAAGCUCCGAUAGGUAGGGGUCCUGAGAGGGAGAUCCCCCACACUGGUACUGAGACACGGACCAGACUUCUACGGAAGGCAGCAGUAAGGAAUAUUGGACAAUGGAGGCAACUCUGAUCCAGCCAUGCCGCGUGAAGGAAGACGGCCUUAUGGGUUGUAAACUUCUUUUAUACAGGAAGAAACCUUUCCACGUGUGGAAAGCUGACGGUACUGUAAGAAUAAGGAUCGGCUAACUCCGUG
rnacentral:rRNA from 1 species